UGUAACGUUGUAUUUACCAUUACAUACGUUAUUUUACAUAAAAUAAUGAAAUAAAAAUAAAACUAAUAAAUAAUAAAACGUAAACACUUUUGUGCGCGAGCGUAGGCGAUUUUUUUGCUGUUCAUAAAAAAUGCAUGGCUCGCUCGCGUCACCCGUCGCCCGGCUAUCGCCAUACCACGGCUGCGCUCGGUAAUAGCAACACGUCAAUAUAUUAUGUGCAGUGACUUAUCACGUUUGCCGUAAAAUACCUAGUUAUAUAAUUUUUUUAAUCACCGGUUGACAACUUAACAUAAUAUAAAAAUAAGUUUCAAGGAUUAUCGUCACCCCGAUAGGGUAAGUGUUGGACACGUGUUAAUAUUAUUUGAGUACUUGUAAAACUUUGAAGUAGUUAUUUAAAAUGUAGUAUUUUAGCAAACAUUUAAUUUUCUUUUCAAAAUUAAUUAUUCUUUCUUUGCUUUCGCUUCCUUUUCUUUUUUUUAUUAUUGUAACUCCGUUCUGAUUGUGAACAACUACACCUCCUGCUUACGGCUUCACCCUUAAUGAUAGACACGGACGCACGUGGUUCACAAUCAGCGGAGACAUAAGAAUGUGGUCUUAACUGUGGACAUCAUUCACAGGGUUCCAGGAUAAGAUUUUGGAACGUUAAAAGAUAUAAUUCCACCAAGUUCCGGUGAUUAGUUACCCGGACCCGAGUAUCGGGAAUCACCUGCGACACGUCGAGUCAUAACCUCCAGCUGAGGGGCCUGCACCGGCGUCUUCAACGUCAGGGGAGUACCGAGCUACAAGGACAAACUAGAUCAACCAACAAUACACCCUACGACCCUUGCUCAAAUUGUAUUUUAAUUAUUUUUAAAUAUACAUCAUUUAAAGGCCGGUA